AGGACAAGACAACUGGGAAUGUGAUGAAAAUGACGAUGGACCAAUAUUUCGCCCACCCGGGGGGUAUCCACGAUAGAAAAUGCAUCAAAUGAUACUUGAACACAAUAGUUCGUUCGCCGGUGCCAAUGAAGAAAUGAUAGCUGCUCCACGGAUAAUGGAUUCCCUCUUUGUCUUUCAAUCAUAUACGUAUUAAAUAUAAUCAUAUAUCUUAUAUUUCUAAUUGUAAACUGCACUUUUAUCUAGAUAUUUGCACCUCAAUUGAAAUGAUAUUCUUCGCUCUAUUUUGUAUUUUCUUCCAAUAAAAUUAGAUAAGUUGCAAUCGAAA